rnacentral:rRNA from 1 species
UACGUAGGGGGCUAGCGUUGCUCGGAAUCACUGGGCGUAAAGCGCACGUAGGCGGAUUGUUAAGUCAGGGGUGAAAUCCUGGAGCUCAACUCCAGAACUGCCUUUGAUACUGGCGAUCUCGAGUCCGGGAGAGGUGAGUGGAACUGCGAGUGUAGAGGUGAAAUUCGUAGGUAUUCGCAAGAACACCAGUGGCGAAGGCGGCUCACUGGCCCGGUACUGACGCUGAGGUGCGAAAGCGUGGGGAGCAAACAGG